rnacentral:rRNA from 1 species
GUGCCAGCAGCCGCGGUAAUACGUAGGGUGCGAGCGUUGUCCGGAAUUACUGGGCGUAAAGAGCUCGUAGGUGGUUUGUCGCGUCGUUUGUGUAAGCCCGCAGCUUAACUGCGGGACUGCAGGCGAUACGGGCAUAACUUGAGUGCUGUAGGGGAGACUGGAAUUCCUGGUGUAGCGGUGGAAUGCGCAGAUAUCAGGAGGAACACCGAUGGCGAAGGCAGGUCUCUGGGCAGUAACUGACGCUGAGGAGCGAAAGCAUGGGUAGCGAACAGGAUUAGAUACCCUGGUAGUCCAUGCCGUAAACGGUGGGCGCUAGGUGUGAGUCCCUUCCACGGGGUUCGUGCCGUAGCUAACGCAUUAAGCGCCCCGCCUGGGGAGUACGGCCGCAAGGCUAAAACUCAAAGGAAUUGACGGGGGCCCGCACAAGCGGCGGAGCAUGUGGAUUAAUUCGAUGCAACGCGAAGAACCUUACCUGGGCUUGACAUAUACAAGACAGGCGUAGAGAUACGUCCUCCCUUGUGGUUUGUAUACAGGUGGUGCAUGGUUGUCGUCAGCUCGUGUCGUGAGAUGUUGGGUUAAGUCCCGCAACGAGCGCAACCCUUGUCUUAUGUUGCCAGCAUUUGGUUGGGGACUCAUGAGAGACUGCCGGGGUCAACUCGGAGGAAGGUGGGGAUGACGUCAAAUCAUCAUGCCCCUUAUGUCCAGGGCUUCACACAUGCUACAAUGGUCGGUACAACGCGCAGCGACACUGUGAGGUGGAGCGAAUCGCUGAAAGCCGGCCUUAGUUCGGAUUGGGGUCUGCAACUCGACCCCAUGAAGUCGGAGUCGCUAGUAAUCGCAGAUCAGCAACGCUGCGGUGAAUACGUUCCCGGGCCUUGUACACACCGCCCGUCACGUCAUGAAAGUUGGUAACACCCGAAGCCAGUGGCUCAAACUCGUUAGGGAGCUGUCGAAGGUGGGAUCGGCGAUUGGGACGAAGUCGUAACAAGGUA